CCGCGCAGGCCCGGCAGCCGCGCGCUGCUAUGGCGGCGCCCGCUGAGGCGGCGGCCCCGGCUGCCGCCCCCGCGGUGAGCGGCGCGCUCUGGGCCGAGGUGUGGGCGCUGCUGCCAGGCACCGAGGAGGAGCUCACCUUGGCGCUGAGCGGAGAGGUGGACGACUGCGUGCAGCCGCUGCUGCGGCGGGCCCGCGGGCUGCUCUACGGCGCGGCGGGCCGGCCCUGCGGGGAGGAGGCGGCGGCGGCGCUGCGGCGCUUGGGCGACAUCCUUCGGGACUACUCGUGGGAGAAGCUGAACGCGGGCCCGUGGCGGGAGAUCAGCAAGGCCUGGCGGCAGGUCUACACCUACGGCUGCCUCUUCGGGGCGCUGGCCGAGGUCGCCGCGGGCCGCCCGGUGGCGCCCGCCGUCCGCCUCUGCGACAUGGGGCUGCUCAUGGGCGCCUCCGUCCUGGACAACGUGCUCGCGCGCCUCGUCCGCGUCCUGCAGCGGCAGCUGCCCCGGGAGCAGCGGCGCGGCGCGGCCGCGCUGGCCGCUGAGGUACGGCCUGAGGGGCCCGACCCCCCGCGCCGCCCUCCCCUUCCCUCCCCCCGGGGCGGGGGCUCCGCGGGGCCGGCGCUGGCAGCUGCGGGACCCACCACGGUGUUGCAGAGCGUCUGGACCGAGCCCCGCCCCGCCCCUGCCGUGCGGCCGGAGGACGCGCUCCCGCGGCUGCGGUGCCCUUCGCUGGAGCACUUCAGAGACAACUACCUCAUCCCGCAGAAACCCGUCGUCCUGGAGGGGAUUAUGGACCACUGGCCGUGCAUGAAGAAGUGGAGCGUGGACUAUUUCUGUCAAAUCGCUGGGUGCCGCACAGUUCCUGUGGAAUUGGGCACCCGAUACACAGAUGAGGAAUGGUCUCAGAAGCUCAUGACUGUCAGUGACUUCAUCAGCCAGUAUAUUGUGAAUGAGAAGAGCGUAGGAUACCUUGCCCAGCACCAGCUUUUUGAUCAGGUAAAACUGAGUGCAUGUUUUUGUCUUUCUGCAGUCCAGUGUUCCCUUUGUCAUCUCUGAGGAUGUCAACUCUACUAGAUGGAAUGGCAUAUGGAGAAUUUGCAAUAUUUCUUAUGUUUGUAGUCCCACAAUUUGAAGGAACGGAGGGAGGGAUUGGGUCCAUUUGGCCGAAAGGCAUGGAAACAAAAUUCUUCAAGGGGUGAAGACAUUCAGUCAUAGUGCUUUUCAGUACAAUGUAGCAUAAACGUAUAGGGAUAUCACCUGGAAAGCAGCAUUUCCCUAAAGAAUAUGCAAAUCGGGGAAUAGGUUUGGACAAGAAACAGACUUCAGUGGUGGUAUGUUCAUCGUAUUCUGAAAUGUCAUUCCAGUUAACCAGAGAUCAGGUUGAUGGGAGAUGUAAAAAGGCAUCUCGCAGAUUCUGCGAAGAAUGAGAAACCCCUUUCUUUCUCCCACCUCUCCUUCCAACAGAAUCUGCUUGCUAGGACAGAAGGUGGGAGGACAUUUCCUGCAGGUUCCUAGCAGUUCAGCUACUUCUCUCCUGCCUUUGCUGGACAAGCAGAUCCCAGAAUUGAAAGAAGAUAUCAAUAUCCCUGACUACUGCUGCCUGGGGGAAGGGGAUGAAGAUCACAUCACCAUCAACGCUUGGUUUGGUCCACAAGGCACUAUCUCACCUCUUCAUCAGGAUCCCCAGCAAAAUUUUUUAGCCCAGGUAUUUGGAAGGAAGUAUAUCCGCCUGUAUUCACCACAAGAUUCAGAAAACCUGUACCCACAUGAAAGCCAAAUUCUUCACAACACAAGUCAGGUUGAUGUGGAAGACCCUGACUUAGUUAAGUUCCCCAAUUUCAGAAAGGCUGCAUCUCAGUCCUGUAUUCUGAUGCCUGGACAGGUUCUGUUUAUUCCAGUUAAAUAUUGGCACUAUGUACGAUCGCUUGAUACCAGUUUCUCAGUCAGCUUCUGGUGGUCAUAGCUCUGAAGCAUGCAGAAAGUCUGUUAGCAUUGCAACAGGAAUUAAGAAUUCUUCUUAAGCAUAAGAAUGUUCUUCCCUAUCCAGAGGUUAGAGGUGGAUUAAAAAAAAUCCAACAAACUCGUGCUUCAGCAGGGUGAAAGAAUCUGGAUGGGUAAACAGAAGAUGCUGCAGCCACCUCAGUGUUGUGGGUGUUUCCAAUAUGAACGCCUCAUAAAGAGCUUAUGUUAGAUCAUCAUCGUGUGUGUGUACAUCUGAAACAGCUCUAUCUGUGGGCGUUGCCAGGACUCUGCUUCUAACUGUAUUUGGCACAUCAGGUUAGUGUUAUCUUCUACUUGGAUUUAACAACAAACUGGGAGUUACAAAAGCAGUGAGGGAUGGUGCUACCCGAAGGCAGCAAGAUGCCAGUCUCCUAUACAGAAAAAGUUACCAGUGUUGAGACCUAGGAACAUAAUUGUGGCUAAUCCUCGGUUUAAUUGCAGCUGAAGCUUAAUCAUACUUCAAAUACCUGCCUUCUGCAGAUAUGCUGCCAUUCCACACUGGCACCUGGCAAGAUUUGGUCCUUCUGGUUUUUUUGUCACUAUUAAAGGAAAAAGCAUCCUUACAUAAAACUAGACAGUGAAGUGCUAAUACUAAAAACUAACUUUAAUUACAAUUUUUUCCACACUUCACAGACAUAAGCUGGCAUUGCCCCAGAGUCCUGUCCUGCUCCUGCCCAAUCGUUUUGACUGUGGGAAUAUUCCCUCUUUUACUGAGCACAGCUGCUCACAACCUGUCCUUGUGUUGGAUGAACUCUCCUGCGUCUCCGGAAGGGACAAAACCCAAGCAGCAGUGCCCACUGAAAGCAUUCAAACUCUAGCCCUAGGUCAGACAUUCAGCCGCCUGCCUUAGUGAGGACACCACAAGUGCUGCAUUGAUUUUUCACCUACUUGAAGCCCUGUGGUGCUAGGUGGGAACAGGUUUCAUUUUCAGUUGUGCCCCAACCCAGGAGCAUGGAGAACAAACAGCAUCCAAGAGAGCUGUGCAGGCAUAACUGAAGGAGAACAGGAAGGUCAAUGAUAAUUUUAUUGUAAAAUUCUUAAAAGCUUGAGGAAAAACUAAGUACUCUGACCAAUGCUCUGUCUGUUGCUAAUGAAUACAAUACGAGCCUGGGUGUUCUGCAAGAGUGGGGAAAAGAGAUUUCACUGAAAUCCAGUUUUUCUAGGAUCGUCUCGUGCUGACCAUGAAGCUCUUCUCUGUUCUCCCUGUUUUUGGUGGUGACUGAGAGUCUGUGCGACUCACACCUGUGAAGAAAACAAAAGGAAGGUCAAUGACGGACGCAUACAAAAGGAUAUAUGAUACUGUAUAGCCUCCAGAUUUCUAAAAUGCUUUAUACACUCCUGUGUUCCUGCUCAGUGUCCAAUUUCCUUGGCUAAAUAAAGGAAUUCCAAAGAGA